CGUGGAUAACCUGCCUCAAGGCUGGGGAUAACAUUUGGAAACAGAUGCUAAUACCGAAUAAAACUUAGUAUCGCAUGAUAUCAAGUUAAAAGGCGCUACGGCGUCACCUAGAGAUGGAUCCGCGGUGCAUUAGUUAGUUGGUGGGGUAAAGGCUUACCAAGACGAUGAUGCAUAGCCGAGUUGAGAGACUGAUCGGCCACAUUGGGACUGAGACACGGCCCAAACUCCUACGGGAGGCUGCAGUAGGGAAUCUUCCACAAUGGGCGCAAGCCUGAUGGAGCAACGCCGCGUGUGUGAUGAAGGCUUUCGGGUCGUAAAGCACUGUUGUAUGGGAAGAAAUGCUAAAAUAGGGAAUGAUUUUAGUUUGACGGUACCAUACCAGAAAGGGACGGCUAAAUACGUGCCAGCAGCCGCGGUAAUACGUAUGUCCCGAGCGUUAUCCGGAUUUAUUGGGCGUAAAGCGAGCGCAGACGGUUGAUUAAGUCUGAUGUGAAAGCCCGGAGCUCAACUCCGGAAUGGCAUUGGAAACUGGUUAACUUGAGUGUUGUAGAGGUAAGUGGAACUCCAUGUGUAGCGGUGGAAUGCGUAGAUAUAUGGAAGAACACCAGUGGCGAAGGCGGCUUACUGGACAACAACUGACGUUGAGGCUCGAAAGUGUGGGUAGCAAACAGGAUUAGAUACCCUGGUAGUCCACACCGUAAACGAUGAAUACUAGGUGUUAGGAGGUUUCCGCCUCUUAGUGCCGAAGCUAACGCAUUAAGUAUUCCGCCUGGGGAGUACGACCGCAAGGUUGAAACUCAAAGGAAUUGACGGGGACCCGCACAAGCGGUGGAGCAUGUGGUUUAAUUCGAAGCAACGCGAAGAACCUUACCAGGUCUUGACAUCCUUUGAAGCUUUUAGAGAUAGAAGUGUUCUCUUCGGAGACAAAGUGACAGGUGGUGCAUGGUCGUCGUCAGCUCGUGUCGUGAGAUGUUGGGUUAAGUCCCGCAACGAGCGCAACCCUUAUUGUUAGUUGCCAGCAUUCAGUUGGGCACUCUAGCGAGACUGCCGGUGACAAACCGGAGGAAGGCGGGGACGACGUCAGAUCAUCAUGCCCCUUAUGACCUGGGCUACACACGUGCUACAAUGGCGUAUACAACGAGUUGCCAACCUGCGAAGGUGAGCUAAUCUCUUAAAGUACGUCUCAGUUCGGACUGCAGUCUGCAACUCGACUGCACGAAGUCGGAAUCGCUAGUAAUCGCGGAUCAGCACGCCGCGGUGAAUACGUUCCCGGGUCUUGUACACACCGCCCGUCACACCAUGGGAGUUUGUAAUGCCC
rnacentral:rRNA from 1 species